GUGAUGGUCAGCCACACUGGGACUGAGACACUGCCCAGACUCCUACGGGAGGCUGCAGUCGAGAAUCUUUAGCAAUGGGCGAAAGCCUGACUAAGCGACGCCGCGUGCAGGACGACGGCCUUCGGGUUGUAAACUGCUUUUGUUAGGAAAGAAUAACUCAUACCUAAUACGUAUGGGCAUGACGGUACCUAACGAAUAAGCCACGGCCAACUCCGUGCCAGCAGCCGCGGUAAUACGGAGGUGGCGAGCGUUACUCGGAAUUAUUGGGUGUAAAGGGCAAGUAGGCGGCUUGUUAAGUGAGAGGUGAAAGCUAUCGACUCAAUCGGUAAAUUGCCUUUCAAACUAACAGACUUGAGGCCGGAAGAGGGAAAUGGAAUUAGCGGUGUAAGGGUGAAAUCUGUAGAUAUCGCUAAGAACACCAGUGGCGAAGGCGAUUUCCUGGUCCGGUUCUGACGCUAAAUUGCGAAAGCUAGGGGAGCGAACAGAAUUAGAUACUCUGGUAGUCCUAGCCGUAAACGAUGAGCACUAGGUGUCGGCCGUAAGGUCGGUGCCGCAGCUAACGCAUUAAGUGCUCCACCUGGGGACUACGGCCGCAAGGCUAAAACUCAAAGGAAUUGACGGGGACCCGCACAAGCGGUGGAACAUGUGGUUUAAUUCGAUGCUACGCGAAGAACCUCACCAGGGCUUGACAUGUAGGCAGUAGUGAACUGAAAGGGGAUCGAUCCGUAAAGUCGGAAACCUACACAGGUGCUGCAUGGCUGUCGUCAGCUCGUGUCGUGAGAUGUUGGGUUAAGUCCCGCAACGAGCGCAACCAUUGCCCCAUGUUGCUACCCUUAAUAUGCGCUUGCGCAUUUUUAAGGCGCACUCUUGGGGGACUGCCUGGGAUAACCAGGAGGAAGGUGGAGAUGACGUCAAGUCAGUACGGCCUUUAUGCCCUGGGCUACACACGUGUUACAAUGGGUGGUACAAAGGGUUGCCAACCCGCGAGGGGGAGCCAAUCUCAAAAAACCACCCCCAGUUCGGAUUGGAGUCUGCAAUUCGACUCCAUGAAGCCGGAAUCGCUAGUAAUGGGAGAUCAGCUCGCUCCCGUGAAUACGUUCCCGGGUCUUGUACACACCGCCCGUCAAGCGAUGAAAGCCGGGGGUACCCGAAGUCCUAUGUAGAUAGGCCGAAGGUAAAACUGGUGAUUGGCGCUAAGUCGUAACAAGGUA
rnacentral:rRNA from 1 species